GGCAGAGUGAAGAGUGGAUCACUACCAUUUGUGAGGCCUUGGAAAGCUUGUCCUAAUGCGUAUCCAAGUGCCCUAGCCACUGGUACUGCAACAGCAUUCCCAACUUGAGUGUACCUUGACAACAUUAUAGAUAGGGCCAAAUAGUCUAUAGUAAUCAGGGAAGCCCUGGAGCCUUGCGUUCUCUCGCACAGUCAAGACACGGUCUUGGUUUGGGUGGAUGAUCACCUGUAAUCAUAUCAAGCAGCAUUAACAGUGAAUACUAUUUUAAAAUUGUUUCCAUAGAUUAGAUGCACAGCCCAGCAUUUUCAGAUGAAUUAAUGAGUUAUUUCAUUCUCCUGAGAGGGUUUCAAGACCGAAAGAAAGACUGACAUGAUUGUGUGGCUCGGCUCUUCCGAUAACAGUUGGGACAGUUUCAUCCCACCAAAGCCGUCCAAAGGGUCUGCAAAGGAAAAUGGUUCAGGUGAUUUAAUAACUCGAAAACAUAUAUGCCAAAUCCAGAAACUGCAGAGAGAAGAAUGACUGUGGAAAUCAAGAACUCACUUCUUUGACUUUCCCUCGACAAAUUUCAUGGCAUACUCUGGAAUCUGUUUGGAUAGCACAAGACGAUGUCUCUUAAAAGGCAAUGAAGAGAGAGCAAGAUUGAUAGAUAAAGAAAGAAAGAAACGAGAUGAUCAGUAUAUUACCAAGGGGUGAUUGGAUUCAAGAUAGAUCCUGGGGAUUUUAGGAUCCCAUUCAACUUUGUUAUUAGCAUUAACAGUUACACCAGGUAAGUCCCUGAAAUUCGCUUGCUAAUACCAGACACAGUACAACAUUAAAACAAAGAGCAAAAGAUAGAAAGAAAAAAAAUGUGAGCAAGGAGUGUGAAGAUGCUCUACCUUUUUCUUGGGGAUCCUACAGACACGUUGAUAAUCAUCUUUGUUAAGAUUCAAAGGAUGGUGAUCGUACAACACCUCAUUUUUGGAGUUUGACUUGGGAUCUUUAGGUGAAGCUAACAUUCCUGUUGAAAAAAGGGGAGACAUCCUCCAGUUUUAAUAAUACUCUUCAUAUCUAUGUUUUACAUCGUUACCUUGAAGAGAGAUAAGAAUCUUACCUUCUUGCGUCAA